rnacentral:tRNA from 1 species
UUUGUCGUGGCCGAGUGUUUAAGGCGAUGAACUAGUAAUAUUUUGGGAUCUUCCCGCGCAGGUUCAAAUCCUGCCGACAUCG